GGGUUGUGAGGUUAAGCGACUAAGCGUACACGGUGGAUGCCCUGGCAGUCAGAGGCGAUGAAGGACGUGCUAAUCUGCGAAAAGCGUCGGUAAGGUGAUAUGAACCGUUAUAACCGGCGAUGUCCGAAUGGGGAAACCCAGUGCAAUUCGUUGCACUAUCGUUAACUGAAUACAUAGGUUAACGAGGCGAACCGGGGGAACUGAAACAUCUAAGUACCCCGAGGAAAAGAAAUCAACCGAGAUUCCCCCAGUAGCGGCGAGCGAACGGGGAGCAGCCCAGAGUCUGAAUCAGCUUGUGUGUUAGUGGAACGGUCUGGAAAGUCCGACGGUACAGGGUGAUAGUCCCGUACACCAAAAUGCACAGGCUGUGAACUCGAAGAGUAGGGCGGGACACGUGGUAUCCUGUCUGAAUAUGGGGGGACCAUCCUCCAAGGCUAAAUACUCCUGACUGACCGAUAGUGAACCAGUACCGUGAGGGAAAGGCGAAAAGAACCCCGGCGAGGGGAGUGAAAAAGAACCUGAAACCGUGUACGUACAAGCAGUGGGAGCACCUUCGGGUGUGACUGCGUACCUUUUGUAUAAUGGGUCAGCGACUUAUAUUCUGUAGCAAGGUUAACCGUAUAGGGGAGCCGCAGGGAAACCGAGUCUUAACUGGGCGUUAAGUUGCAGGGUAUAGACCCGAAACCCGGUGAUCUAGCCAUGGGCAGGUUGAAGGUUGGGUAACACUAACUGGAGGACCGAACCGACUAAUGUUGAAAAAUUAGCGGAUGACUUGUGGCUGGGGGUGAAAGGCCAAUCAAACCGGGAGAUAGCUGGUUCUCCCCGAAAGCUAUUUAGGUAGCGCCUCGUGAACUCAUCUUCGGGGGUAGAGCACUGUUUCGGCUAGGGGGUCAUCCCGACUUACCAACCCGAUGCAAACUACGAAUACCGAAGAAUGUUAUCACGGGAGACACACGGCGGGUGCUAACGUCCGUCGUGAAGAGGGAAACAACCCAGACCGCCAGCUAAGGUCCCAAAGUCAUGGUUAAGUGGGAAACGAUGUGGGAAGGCACAGACAGCCAGGAUGUUGGCUUAGAAGCAGCCAUCAUUUAAAGAAAGCGUAAUAGCUCACUGGUCGAGUCGGCCUGCGCGGAAGAUGUAACGGGGCUAAACCAUGCACCGAAGCUGCGGCAGCGACACUAUGUGUUGUUGGGUAGGGGAGCGUUCUGUAAGCCUGCGAAGGUGUGCUGUGAGGCAUGCUGGAGGUAUCAGAAGUGCGAAUGCUGACAUAAGUAACGAUAAAGCGGGUGAAAAGCCCGCUCGCCGGAAGACCAAGGGUUCCUGUCCAACGUUAAUCGGGGCAGGGUGAGUCGACCCCUAAGGCGAGGCCGAAAGGCGUAGUCGAUGGGAAACAGGUUAAUAUUCCUGUACUUGGUGUUACUGCGAAGGGGGGACGGAGAAGGCUAUGUUAGCCGGGCGACGGUUGUCCCGGUUUAAGCAUGUAGGCUGGUUAUCCAGGCAAAUCCGGAUAAUCAAGGCUGAGGUGUGAUGACGAGGCACUACGGUGCUGAAGUAACAAAUGCCCUGCUUCCAGGAAAAGCCUCUAAGCAUCAGGUAACAUCAAAUCGUACCCCAAACCGACACAGGUGGUCAGGUAGAGAAUACCAAGGCGCUUGAGAGAACUCGGGUGAAGGAACUAGGCAAAAUGGUGCCGUAACUUCGGGAGAAGGCACGCUGGUGUGUAGGUGAAGUCCCUGCGGAUGGAGCUGAGACCAGUCGAAGAUACCAGCUGGCUGCAACUGUUUAUUAAAAACACAGCACUGUGCAAACACGAAAGUGGACGUAUACGGUGUGACGCCUGCCCGGUGCCGGAAGGUUAAUUGAUGGGGUUAUCCGUAAGGAGAAGCUCUUGAUCGAAGCCCCGGUAAACGGCGGCCGUAACUAUAACGGUCCUAAGGUAGCGAAAUUCCUUGUCGGGUAAGUUCCGACCUGCACGAAUGGCGUAAUGAUGGCCAGGCUGUCUCCACCCGAGACUCAGUGAAAUUGAACUCGCUGUGAAGAUGCAGUGUACCCGCGGCAAGACGGAAAGACCCCGUGAACCUUUACUAUAGCUUGACACUGAACAUUGAGCCUUGAUGUGUAGGAUAGGUGGGAGGCUUUGAAGCGUGGACGCCAGUCUGCGUGGAGCCAACCUUGAAAUACCACCCUUUAAUGUUUGAUGUUCUAACGUUGGCCCCUGACCGGGGUUGCGGACAGUGUCUGGUGGGUAGUUUGACUGGGGCGGUCUCCUCCCAAAGCGUAACGGAGGAGCACGAAGGUUAGCUAAUCCUGGUCGGACAUCAGGAGGUUAGUGCAAUGGCAUAAGCUAGCUUGACUGCGAGCGUGACGGCGCGAGCAGGUGCGAAAGCAGGUCAUAGUGAUCCGGUGGUUCUGAAUGGAAGGGCCAUCGCUCAACGGAUAAAAGGUACUCCGGGGAUAACAGGCUGAUACCGCCCAAGAGUUCAUAUCGACGGCGGUGUUUGGCACCUCGAUGUCGGCUCAUCACAUCCUGGGGCUGAAGUAGGUCCCAAGGGUAUGGCUGUUCGCCAUUUAAAGUGGUACGCGAGCUGGGUUUAGAACGUCGUGAGACAGUUCGGUCCCUAUCUGCCGUGGGCGCUGGAGAAUUGAGGGGGGCUGCUCCUAGUACGAGAGGACCGGAGUGGACGCAUCACUGGUGUUCGGGUUGUCAUGCCAAUGGCACUGCCCGGUAGCUAAAUGCGGAAGAGAUAAGUGCUGAAAGCAUCUAAGCACGAAACUUGCCCCGAGAUGAGUUCUCCCUGAGACUUUAAGUCUCCUGAAGGAACGUUGAAGACGACGACGUUGAUAGGCCGGGUGUGUAAGCGCAGCGAUGCGUUGAGCUAACCGGUACUAAUGAACCGUGAGGCUUAACCUUACAACGCCGAAG
rnacentral:rRNA from 2 species